rnacentral:rRNA from 1 species
AACGAACGCUGGCGGCAUGCCUAACACAUGCAAGUCGAACGAGACCUUCGGGUCUAGUGGCGCACGGGUGCGUAACGCGUGGGAACCUGCCCUUAGGUUCGGAAUAACUCCCCGAAAGGGGUGCUAAUACCGGAUAAUGUCUUCGGACCAAAGAUUUAUCGCCUUUGGAUGGGCCCGCGUUGGAUUAGCUAGUUGGUAGGGUAAAAGCCUACCAAGGCGACGAUCCAUAGCUGGUCUGAGAGGAUGAUCAGCCACACUGGGACUAAGACACGGCCCAGACUCCUACGGGAGGCAGCAGUGGGGAAUAUUGGACAAUGGGCGAAAGCCUGAUCCAGCAAUGCCGCGUGAGUGAUGAAGGCCUUAGGAUUGUAAAGCUCUUUUACCCGGGAUGAUAAUGACAGUACCGGGAGAAUAAGCUCCGGCUAACUCCGUG